UCCAGAACUAGACUUAAUCUGUGUCCAGAACUAGACUUAAUCUGUGUCCAGAACUAGACUUAAUCUGUGUCCAGAACUAGACUUAAUCUGUGUCCAGAACUAGACUUCAUCUGUGUCCAGAACUAGACUUCAUCUGUGUCCAGAACUAGACUUCAUCUGUGUCCAGAACUAGACUUCAUCUGUGUCCAGAACUAGACUUAAUCUGUGUCCAGAACUAGACAAUCUGUGUCCAGAACUAGACUUCAUCUGUGUCCAGAACUAGACUUCAUCUGUGUCCAGAACUAGACUUCAUCUGUGUCCAGAACUAGACUUCAUCUGUGUCCAGAACUAGACUUCAUCUGUGUCCAGAACUAGACUUCAUCUGUGUCCAGAACUAGACUUCAUCUGUGUCCAGAACUAGACUUCAUCUGUGUCCAGAACUAGACUUCAUCUCUAUCUGGAAAACCGUUUUAUAGCAAUUUAUCCAUCAGGUUAUGUUCUAGAGAAGUUUAUACAGAGUUAGUCUAAAGACUGUUGUUUCCUUUUAGCCAGUGAAAGCAUUCUACGGACGGUCGUUGUCGAGUCUGUAUCGUGUCUGUCUACACGAAGAUACAGGUGUCGAAAGGGAACUGGUAGGUGGAGGAAGGCAGUGAUGAUACAGGUGUCGAAAGGGAACUGGUAGGUGGAGGAAGGCAGUGAUGAUACAGGUGUCGAAAGGGAACUGGUAGGUGGAGGAAGGCAGUGAUGAUAUUACGGAGGUGCAGAGCUUGUAGUUUUUAUUUAACUAGAAACUAUAGAAAGGUAACUAGCUGGAGAACAACCUCAGAUACUCUUUCUUUCUACCACGUUUAAAAUAGCUGGACUUGAGGUAGCUCUGGUCCAGGGUGUUGUUUCUUCCACUAAGGAAUUAGUGGAGGAAUUAAUGCCCUGGACCAGAGCUCUGGUGCAGCAAGAGAGGUAGGGAGGUACCCAGUGAAUGUCCUUUUUUUUGUUGAUUGAUAAAAGGCAGAUGGUAUUGUAUGUUGAAAUGAGUUAGGAACACAAGCAGUCAAAUCUCCUUUUUUAGGAUAACUUCUGUGAUAGACUUGGGAGGCAUUAUUCCGUUCUUUUGAGAAUUUCAUAGUUUUCAUUUGUUCUGUUGUCACACUAAGGUAUUUUAAUGGCCAUGGAGUUAAAUCAAAAAUGGAGUGUAAAACACACAAUUCUGUAAGGUACGUUUUCCAUUGACGUGUUUCAAGGGGUCUAUAUUCAUGUUAAUAAAUGUACAAGUACUUUGUUGGUCCCCGAGAGAGAAAAAAAAACUUUUGUUAAUGAAGUUUUCCUGUACUAUCAAUAUGUAGUUCUAUUUGAUUUAGCAUACAUUGACAAUUGUCCAACCUAAUUCUGGCCUAAUUCAUAACCUCAAAUGUUGUUAAAGUCAAACAUACUUAAAGCAUUUAAUUGUUGUGUUAUUGACUUGUUAUUAGUCAGUGUUUGGCCAGUUCUACUGUUUGUCUGAUCCCUAGUUUUAACGACAGCAGGAAGUCAGGAAGGAAGGUGCUACAUUUGAUUCAUGUUUUGGUUGGCUUGCUGGGCUUGUAUAGUUACUACCAUGUGUUCUGGAUUAUAGUUAGUUUAGCGUUUUUUUGUUGUUGUUCAUUUAACAUAGGGAUGACGAUGACCUCGUAAAAUUAAUAUGCAGUGUAUAUCCUAAUAUCUAUAGUCUUUUUUUUUUUUUUUUUUUUUUUUAAGUUACGGAUUCCAUUCUAAUAUGUCGUUAAGGCUGAAGAGCUUGGAUCGGUCCCAAAUGGGAUCCUAUUCCCUAUGGGCCCUGGUCAAAAGUAGUGCACUUUUUUAAAGGGAAUCAAGGUGCCAUUUGGGACUCCUUCCACAUUUAGAAGAAGAUCUGUCGUGGUCUUGCUGUAUGUAGUGGGCCUUGUGAGUAUUGUGUUUUUAAUAGGUGACUACAGGAGAUCAGGAUGUGUAUAUUCUCUAAGUGUCUCGGUGUAGAGCUGAUUUAGGAUGAUUUUUUUUUUGGUGUGUGUGUGUCCCUUGUAAAUCGUAUGCAUAAGAGGGGAGAACUUCUCCUAGAUGAGCACUCCUACUUUAAGACGCUAGAUGCAUCCGGGCCCCUGUCCGUCCGUCAUCAGAAAGCCCCCCUCCCUUUCCCCCAUUACUGUCUUCACGUCAUGGUAUUAUCUUUCUGUCUCCGGAGUGAUAGGGGCCAGUGAGGUGUAAGUCCUGUCAUCUUCCCAUGUUGGACUGGAAUGAAUCACAAUGUUUAGGGCGCACCUCUAUCUCAUCCCUGUGAGUGUGUCUCCCAAAUGGCACUCUAUUCCUCAUAUAGUGCACUACUCUUGACCAGGACCCAUAGGGAAUAGGGUGCCAUUUUGAGAAGCAUCUCUGAUCUACGGGGGGGGGGCAGCAGCGCCUCUCUUAACGCCUUUCCCAGUUCAUCUCUCUGUGUUCAGGUGUGCUAACCAACCAAGGCCCCACUGGCCCCUGUCUGCUGUUCCAGUCGGUUGUUCUUCCUAUUUAUUGUGUAGCAGCAUGUCAUUGGAGCCCUUCCUGUUCCUGUGUGUUCUGCUUCUUGCUCCGGUUAUUAUUGUCUUGAUAACAAAUAAAGUUGAACAGAUGCAAAA